rnacentral:rRNA from 1 species
AUGGCUCGCCCCCACCAACGGUCGUCUCGCUCCCAGGCUCCGACCGCCGCCUUCGGACCAAUCCACGGCCGCCGGAUCCCACAUCCACAUCCCCACCCACAACUCCACCCGCCGGUUCCUCUCUCCGAGGGCCGUCGGCCAGAUAACGCUCACAAACGGCACGGUUCCGGUACGGCUGCUUCGUCCCGCACAUCUGCGGAUGCUCCUCUGCCAGGCCGCUCGUGGCCUGCCUCCGUUGAUUUGGAGCCGGAUGGUGAAGGAUGGAUCCAGGUCCGCAACCGUCGUCACCAGCCCCGUUUUGUGGCGGCCCCCGCCGUCCAUCACCCUGCUAGCUCCAAGCUUUGGAUUCCCCGGUGGCUUCUGGGCAGGUGCUUUAAAUGCCUGGAUGAGGGGCACCAGAAAGCUAAAUGCUCCGGCGAGAUUCGCUGUCAUAAGUGCUGGGUCUCGGGACAUCUCGCCCGUGACUGCUCUUUUUCCCCAAGCUCGUCGCUACACCAACCCCCUCCUCAUUCCAGAUCCAGCCAAGGCCACUCCUCUAGGGCGCUGCUUGCCACGGUGGGGGGCAGGCGGCCCGCCGUCUCCCCUGAGGUGCUGGUCCAGUCCCUGGCCAGGAUCUGCGGGAUCGAGAGGAGGCACGUCAGGGUGGAGGUCACUCACCCGGCAGAUUUCUUCAUCACCUUCGCCUCCAACGCGGACUGCGACAACGUCUUCUCGUUCUCCGGCAAGCUGCGCUGUGCGGGCGCGCCCGUCUCUUUUCAGAGGUGGCAUAGGUGCGCUCAGGCUUACAGCGGCAAGCUGGAUUUCUUCUGCAAGCUCGGGAUCGAGGGGAUGCCGGCUAGCGCGUGGGAGUGUGGGGCAAUCAGUCAACUGAUCAACAAUCUGAAUGGUCAACUGGUGGAGAUCCUGCCGCCGGACGACCGCUGGCAGCUCGAGGUCACCGCUUGGAUGCAGAAUCCUUUGGGCAUCCCAAAGAUCUACGACAUGGAGAUUCCGGAGCCGGUCGGCCUGCCGGACUCGCUUGAUGAGGAGUUCACGGUGUCGCCGCCGCAUCCCUCGCCUCCGACGGAGAGGCCGACUCUGAUCCACCCCCUCACCAUUCAUGUGCUGGAUGUGGUGGACCGCACCGUCCCCUAUCUCCAGUUCAGGCCCAAUUUCGAGCCUGACGAUGAUGAGGACCUUACAAGAAGGCAUGACUACUCUCGUAGCUGCUUCCGGGGAAGAAUCGACGGCACAAGUCGUGGGGGUGCACCCAAUUCAGGUGCUCACCCUUUUGGUGGCCCGGGCGGAUACGGCAUGGCGGGCGACUGGGGCGGAGGUCGCCGCGUCAAUGGUGUUCUUGCGCCUGUGGGCGGCCGGGCGCUGUCUUGGGGUCCGCAUACUUCAGGAGCAAAGUUGCCAUCGGGGGAGGCGUCGGUCGAGAGGUCCGGCGGGCUUUCAUGCUCUCGGGCCACGCCAGGCUCGCUGGCCUCGACGGCGGUGGGCUCGGGUGCGGGAGGCGCACGCCAAUUCUUCAGCUCUCGGCCGCACCCACGGCGGUAG